CAAGGCGGGGACACAGAGGCCCCUCUGGUCAAGAGCAGGACGGGGCUUCAGGGGCUGACGGCCUGUCCACCUGGAAAAGCCAGGCACCUGCUCUGGGGCACAGACUUGACCAAGGCAAAGUCCCUCCCCGUCAGAAAACCCAGCCGUGUCCAAGAGACAGGGGACAGGCAGAGACAGUCCCUCGACUCGGCGAGAUGAUGGCUGUGAACUUGACUCUACAGGAGAGAGCACCUCCAGCCCUCAGAAGGCUUUGCCCUCUCUACCCGGCACCCUGGGCAGGCGGUUUCCUCACCCAUGAUGUGGGAGCCAUCACUCCCACCUCCCAGGGUGGCAGUGAGGAGGGGAAACAGAGACCUGAGAGCUCCAGCACCCGGCCUGGCACGUAGUGGGUGCACAGGAAACGCUGAGGGUGUUGUGCUGUCCACACCUGUGGCCCCCAGGACCCACAACCCAGGACUGGGCAGUGCUGAGCCAUGGCGACUGGCUUUGCCAUUCACCACAUCAAAGCCUUUGUUAAAACUUGGUUAGGGUCUAUUAAUUGCACACACUGA